AGGACGAACGCUGGCGGCGUGCUUAACACAUGCAAGUCGAGCGGUAAGGCCUUUCGGGGUACACGAGCGGCGAACGGGUGAGUAACACGUGGGUGAUCUGCCCUGCACUUCGGGAUAAGCCUGGGAAACUGGGUCUAAUACCGGAUAUGACCUCAGGUUGCAUGACUUGGGGUGGAAAGAUUUAUCGGUGCAGGAGUGGGCCCGCGGCCUAUCAGCUUGGUUGGUGGGGUAAUGGCCUACCAAGGCGACGGACGGGUAGCCGACCUG
rnacentral:rRNA from 1 species